AAAAUGAACAGGAAAGUUGAAUAAAACAGGAAGUCAACUAUUGCAACAGCAAUACUUUAGCUACACUGUAGAACAGACCACAAAAUCAGUGCUGUUAGAACUACUCCAACUCCCACUACUCUUGGACAACAGCAAUAAUGUAGUAUUCAACAGUGAACAAAAGUUAUUUAAUAGGUUAUUAGGUUGGCAUUUCUAUCUGUAUCAAUAGACUGGGACAAACUGAUUCAAAUAAAUUUUAAAACAACACAGUAAAAUACCAAUUAAAUCUACUAGCUUGUUAACCUGCAC